rnacentral:rRNA from 2 species
CAAACUGGGAUUAGAUACCCCACUAUGCCUAGCCCUAAAUCUAGAUACCCACAUACUUAUGUAUCCGCCUGAGAACUACGAGCACAAACGCUUAAAACUCUAAGGACUUGGCGGUGCCCCAAACCCACCUAGAGGAGCCUGUUCUAUAACCGAUAAUCCACGAUCUACCCAACCACCCCUUGCCAACACAGCCUACAUACCGCCGUCGCCAGCCCACCUUAAUGAAAGAACAACAGUGAGCUCAAUAGCCGCCACUAAUAAGACAGGUCAAGGUAUAGCCUAUGGGAUGGAAGAAAUGGGCUACAUUUUCUAAAAUAGAACAAACGAAAAAGGACAUGAAACCUGGUCCUUGGAAGGAGGAUUUAGCAGUAAAAUGGGAUCACUUUGCCCACUUUAAGAUGGCCCUGAGGCACGUACACACCGCCCGUCACCCUC